rnacentral:rRNA from 1 species
GCGAACGGGUGAGUAACACGUGGGCAAUCUGCCCUGCACUCUGGGAACAAGCCCUGGAAACGGGGUCUAAUACCGGAUAUGACCCGGGACCGCAUGGUCCUGGGUGUAAAGCUCCGGCGGUGCAGGAUGAGCCCGCGGCCUAUCAGCUUGUUGGUGGGGUAAUGGCCUACCAAGGCGACGACGGGUAGCCGGCCUGAGAGGGCGACCGGCCACACUGGGACUGAGACACGGCCCAGACUCCUACGGGAGGCAGCAGUGGGGAAUAUUGCACAAUGGGCGAAAGCCUGAUGCAGCGACGCCGCGUGAGGGACGACGGCCUUCGGGUUGUAAACCUCUUUCAGCAGGGAAGAAGCGCAAGUGACGGUACCUGCAGAAGAAGCACCGGCUAACUACGUGCCAGCAGCCGCGGUAAUACGUAGGGUGCGAGCGUUGUCCGGAAUUAUUGGGCGUAAAGAGCUCGUAGGCGGCCUGUCGCGUCGGAUGUGAAAGCCCGGGGCUCAACCCCGGGUCUGCAUUCGAUACGGGCAGGCUGGAGUGUGGUAGGGGAGAUCGGAAUUCCUGGUGUAGCGGUGAAAUGCGCAGAUAUCAGGAGGAACACCGGUGGCGAAGGCGGAUCUCUGGGCCAUUACUGACGCUGAGGAGCGAAAGCGUGGGGAGCGAACAGGAUUAGAUACCCUGGUAGUCCA